rnacentral:rRNA from 1 species
AGAACGAACGCUGGCGGCAGGCUUAACACAUGCAAGUCGAGCGCUGUAGCAAUACAGAGCGGCGCACGGGUGAGUAACACGUGGGAACAUGCCUUUCGGUUCGGAAUAACUCAGGGAAACUUGUGCUAAUACCGGAUACGCCCUUACGGGGAAAGAUUUAUUGCCGAAAGAGUGGCCCGCGUUGGAUUAGCUAGUUGGCGGGGUAAAAGCCCACCAAGGCGACGAUCCAUAGCUGGUCUGAGAGGACGACCAGCCACACUGGGACUGAGACACGGCCCAGACUCCUACGGGAGGCAGCAGUGGGGAAUCUGGACAAUGGGGGAAACCCUGAUCCAGCCAUGCCGCGUGAGUGAUGAAGGCCCUAGGGUUGUAAAACUCUUUCGCGCACGACGAUAAUGACGGUAGUGCGAGAAGAGCUCCGGCUAACUUCGUGCCAGCAGCCGC